UCAUAUUUUUCAUAGAGAAAUCUCUGAUCAAGGAUAGACCAAGAGCCCUUUUGCAUCAUAUCUAAGGGAUUCCUCGGUUCGGGCCGAAGAAGCAAUGUCACUCGAUCAUUAUCAAACUGACUGCAAUCUUUUUCUGUCCGUGAAGAUCCCACCAGAGCGCCCUCUACUUCUAAUAGGCCAUGAACUAGAUCAGAAUCAUUCUCAACGAAUCCAUAAGAAGUGAUCCCAUUUUUUUCAUCGGGUACAGAUAAAGACCAAAGAUCUUGAGCGACCGAUCCGGCAGAACAACUCAAAAGAUAAAGAAGUAUCGUUAAUCUCUUCAUGCUCGUUCCAAGCUCGAAGUACCAUUUGCACAAAUAAGAAUCCCCUUCGUUACAUGAUUUCUUCUUUAUAUAGAUAGAUAUAGGAUCUAUAGGGCAAUUACUUAGAAGUACAUUUUGUGCUACAGCCCUUCCUAUCCGAUAGAAACGGAUCCCAUGAUCCUGAACCGAUCUUACCUGGGAUCACAAAUCCCAAGUUGUCUAUGAAGAGCGGAUCUAAUUGUAUUAGUGUCUAUAAUUGAUUUCUUCUGUGUAAUACUAAUCGAUAGGACCUCAUUGGUAAGUGCUACAAGAUCUCGUGCAUUGGAACCCAUGGUUAUGGACCCGAAUCCGUUAGUAUGGAACAUUUUCUUUUCCAAGUGAAAUCCCCUAGUAUAUGAAAGAGUGAAAAAGUUCUUUCGUUGUUGUGGAAUAAGAAGCCUUCGUAUCUUAAUGCACGUAUUGAAUUUAUUCAGAGCUAUUAGAGCGGGAUCCACUUUUUAGGGAAUAUGAGUCGAAGAAAUAACAAGAAUAUUUCUAGUAGAACAUCUUUCACAAUCCCUGGAGAGAUGGUUCACUAAUAGACUGAGGGAUAAGUCAUUCGACUCAUUCACAUCCAGAUCAUGAAUGUUUGGAAUCCAUAUUAUGCAAGGAGACAUUGCUUUUGCUAAUUCGAAUUGAAGGGUGAUAUAAAAUCGGUCUAUUUCCCGCAUCAUAUUUAUAGUUAGCCCAUUCAUCCUAGUUAGCAGUUCCAGCUCCGUAUCAAGGUCACGAUCGAUAUCGUCACUAGCAUCAAGAUUGUCACUAUCAUCAAUAUCGUCACUAUCAUCAAUAUCGAUCUCAUCAAGAAGAAAACCUUUAGACUUGUUAUCCAGGAACUUGUUCAGAAAUACCGUAAUGAAAGGAACAUAGGAGUUUGUCGCUAGGUAUUUGACCAAAUAGGAUCGUCCAGUUCCUAUAGAACCUAUCACUAAAAUACCCCUAGAGGGGGAUAAGGCUAAGCGGAGCGAAAAAGGUUUUCCAUGAGACGGGAAAUGAAAACUAUUUUCCCCACACGAAGUUUGUGAAUAAGUGAUUGUCUGAUAAUGAGCAAGGAAUAUCCGUCUUUCUGCUAAACAGGAUGGAUUGAACUCAUAAUUCAUUAGAUGCUUUUUAUGAAUGUCAAGUAAGUAUCGUAAGUAAAUUGCUCCCGGUUGUUCAAUCAUUUGAUAAACAGAGUCAUUCUUUGAUAAAUGAUCACUAUGAGUCAGACUCAAUAGAAUUUGAUCAAUCCUAUUUUCUGUCGUUAAGGUGGAGAACUCAACCAAGAAUUCUCUUUCUUCAUCAUCAAUCGAAUCACUGUUUGCGACCCAGGAUUCUAUUUUCUCAUCAAUCCAAUCCCCUUUCACGUUUUUUCUUUUUCUUAUCAAUGAAUAGAUCUCUUUACUUGUAUGACUUAGAUGUCUCGUAUUUCUCAAAAAAGUGAUUCUAUUGAUGGGAUUUGGUAUGAGAUCGAUGAUCUAGAUGAGAUUGAUAUUCCAAUCUUUCUUCUUAGAACGUAUUGAUUUGACCCCAUAAGCGGGACCAAGCAUGUUGCCGCCAGAAGCAGAACCCCGUAUUUCUUCUAGAGAAUCUCCUAAUUGUUCCAGAGCAACUAGAAAGAGAUUCUUUAACCAAAAAGAAUUCGGUUCAGAUGUAGGAUACCUAUGCAGAAGUUUUCGCAACUCAAUCAUAGAUGAUGGAGUCAUCAAAGAUUUUACCCUUUCGAACUCUAUCUGUAACUCACUAGAGGCCUUGGAAA
rnacentral:lncRNA from 1 species